UUCUCUAGCACUAGGCCUUGAAAAUGGAGAUACUGCUACUAGUGCAAUUGAACAUACGAUUUCAUACAUUAGAACAUUGUAUGCCUUUACAAAUGAUACUCUUGCUAAGUAUUCUUAUGCAACCUCACUUCAAGCUACACUAAGGUUCCUGAUUUCGAAUGGAAAGGCUAAUGGUGGAGAAAUUAUUACAACUUUGUUUGUUGUAAUUUUG